GCAAACUUGGUCAUUUAGAGGAAGUAAAAGUCGUAACAAGGUUUCCGUAGGUGAACCUGCGGAAGGAUCAUUACAGUUAUUAAUUUCUGCCAGCGCUUAAUUGCGCGGCGGGAAAUAAUUCUUACACACUGUGUUUUUUGUUAUUACAAGAACCAUUGCUUUGGCUUGGCUUGGAAACAGGUUGGGCCGGAGGACUACAUAAACUUCAAUUUAUUGAAUUGUUUUUUUAACAUUUUGUCAAUUUGUUUGAUUAAUUUCAAAAUAAUCUUCAAAACUUUCAACAACGGAUCUCUUGGUUCUCGCAUCGAUGAAGAACGCAGC
rnacentral:misc_RNA from 1 species